GGGAAGCUCAUCCACUCUUUCAAAGGGAAUGAUAUAUUGAAUGGAAAUUUAGUAACCCAUUUGUGUAACAAGACUCUUUCAAGCAUCUCAGUGAAUAAAAAAAAAAAAAAACAUUGGGCAGCUUAUACCUGAGCUUAAGGUCUUGCUUUUGAUCCUAGCUACCUACUGUGGUUCCUGCCUGGACUUUCCCCGUAAUUCAGAUCUUCUUGCUCCUCCCCCAAGAAUGGCUCAAAACCCCUAGAUGUAUGAAGCAUCUUUACCUACCCCAGUCCUCCCUUGAUGCUGCCUUCUGGAGUUCAAGUCCCCCUACCCAGAAACUUGACGAUCAAACUACCCAAAUUUACUCUGGUCUCUGCUGGAACCUGGAGCACUUCAUCCACCUUCACUGCCUCAUCCUGGCUUUCUCAGACGGAGCUACAAUCAAAAGUGACCUCCCUCUCCCAAAGGGGUAAAAGGCUUGCCUCCAAAUCACCAAACAACCUUAAUAAAGACCCUCAUCUGCCACUUAGCCACAUUCGUGUGAUGUCUUCAGUUGAAAUCAUAACUCUUCUGAACCCUGAGCAAAGAGAAAAAGCAAAGCAACACAACACACACUUACACACACACACAUCUGCGUAGUAAAGAAGACGGAAAGGAAGCACAAGCAAAAUACUCCAACACGGCCGUGUCGUGUGGAGCCUUCUUCUUCGGCUGAAAGGCAGCUUCUCCUGAGGGUUUAGGCUGUUCUCCUGAGCUAAGGGUGGAGUGAGGGAGAAGGAAGGCAGAUCUGCGUCUGUGGCUGAUUGGCAAGUUCUGUGAGAAGUUAUCCACUCCCAUAAGUUUUGUUACUGUGGCAAUUUCUUUCUCAGCGUUGAUGGUGCCCCUUACUUACAGGCGGGGGUGGUGUGGGGAAUGGGGUGUUGUUUCUAGUGGCUGCUGGGCAGCCGUCUGACUGAGCCUGGAAAGGUUCUGGGAAAAUGAAAUGCUGUUGUUUCUCUGUUUUUGAAGACACUCUUUUUUCGAUCAUGUUUAUACUUUGAAAUUUCACACUGUGGUCAAAGAAGGCAAGGUAAAAUUUUAUAUCCCCAUCAACACCGGAGAACUGUGCUUGUCCUGUGUUCACACAGACACGUGAUCUUUAUAGACGUCUAAGAUGAGUACCUGUGGGGGAGACAAAUCACAUUUUAAUAACCAAAUCAUGAUAUUCAAAUAUUUUAAAUGUAGCCGCUUUUCCCUUUUCCUAUAGAGUUUUCCUAUCUUCUUAACAGAGGUAACAUAUAAAUCCAAGUAAUGUCCUUCUCAACUAUAAUUUAGAGUUGCACUGAAAACGAAAGUUAUAGAUAAGAUAAAGUUAAAAUAUAAAUUUCAGAUCAAGCAUUCUACUGUGACAUAAAAAAGCAAGCUUUAAGUUCACUGAAACGGAAUAUUCCAGCAAUUACCAAAAGAUUCCACAGCUGUUAAACUAGAAAAACUGUUUUUCUUUCUUUGCGUGUAACUCAUCAUCUCUCACAAUCACCUCGUAACUAAUCAAAGCUUUUAUGAAAACGUUAGUGGCCAAAAAGCCACUUUGAUUGCCUUCGUUCCAUUGGCUAUUUAUAGGCCUGUUUAUUGCCACUAAUCACUUUUUUUUUUAAUUUUAAAAUUUGUUCUUUUGAAAUCAGCUUUAACAACAGCAAUAAAAUAUGUUCUAAAAUAUUAACA
rnacentral:lncRNA from 1 species